rnacentral:rRNA from 1 species
AACGAACGCUGGCGGCAGGCUUAACACAUGCAAGUCGAACGCUCGUGGCAACACGGGAGUGGCGGACGGGUGAGUAACGCGUGGGAACGUGCCCUGAGGUUGGGAAUAACUGCGGGAAACUGCAGCUAAUACCUGAUGAGCCCCGAGAGGGGGAAAGAUUUAUCGCCUUGGGAGCGGCCCGCGUCGGAUUAGCUAGUUGGUGGGGUAACGGCUUACCAAGGCUUCGAUCCGUAGCUGGUCUGAGAGGACGAUCAGCCACACUGGACUGAGACACGGCCCAGACUCCUACGGGAGGCAGCAGUGGGGAAUCUUGCGCAAUGGGGGCAACCCUGACGCAGCCAUGCCGCGUGAAUGAUGAAGGCCUUAGGGUUGUAAAGUUCUUUUGCCCGUGACGAUGAUGACGGUAACGGGAGAAUAAGCUCCGGCUAACUUCGUG